GUAUUGUCUAACCAAAAUAACUUUUUUUCUCAUGUAAUAAAAUAUUUUUUGUAACAGUCUUGUUUUUGCACUAAAAUACUAUUGGACAUAUAUGGAAAUAUAUUGGACAAAAUAAUCUUUUACAAAAUCUUCCAUAAAAUAGACUAGCUUCGUUUGCAGUAUUUGAUUUGUGUAAUCAGGAGAAAAGAGAGAGAUCUCAGAAAAUUAUUUGUUAAAGUAAAAAGAUUGUAUCAAGUUUUAGGUAAUAAGCUAUUAAUGUGCUUUGAAAGUUUAACGUUAUAAAGGAUACCAUGUGUAAUUUCAAAGAGUUUAACACAAAGCACAACCCCUACAUGGAAAUAUUUUCUACGCAAUAAAGAAUGUGAAACAGCUAUGUGUAAACUAAGUCAUUGCAAAAAAAUAUUAGAAUUUGUUCGCACUUCAUAGGCAUCAACUUCAGUUACAUAAAUUUAAAAAUAGAAACAGCACGUUCUCCGGCAUCGGAAAAAGUCUCACAGAAUAAAAUUAGUUUAUAUUUUUUCAUAGAAUAUGAAUAAAGAAGUGUCUGAAGCGCUAGCAAGAACGACAGCUAAUAAUGUAAUAUAAUUUAAAGUAUUAUGUAUUUCUAUUGAUAAAUGAAGUAUUGGCAUUUAAGCAAUAUGCUGUAUUGGCAUUUAGGCAAUUUACCUUUACCCCUAAAUCUUCUUAUACCGUAAAAAAAAAUGGAACUGAUUUCGCUUACAAAAUAAAAGAUGCUCUCAGAAAUGAAUUACGAAAAAAAUUGAAAGGGGAAGAUAAUUUUUGCAAUUUUAGGUGUAUAUUGUUUAUUUAGUUUUAUUGUUGGAAUAAUACCAGCUGAAAAGUA